UAUUAGUUAGGGCUAAGCAGCUGGGG
rnacentral:piRNA from 1 species